GAAAAGAAGGUCGUCCACCCUUCAACGAUCGACGUAAUUUCUGGACGUGGUGUGGCCUCGAAUGAAUCUUUCACCUUGAUUGGACUCAGUCUACCAACUUUCACCGUGGGAGCCCAGUUGCUUGCUGGCAAGUUAUGGAAAUGACUUAAAGCAACGCGAGAAGAGGAAUUGGAUCGGUUUGAAACAACGUGAGUGUCUACGCCAUUGAUCCAAUGGAAUUAGGAGGAGUCUGCUCUACCCACGUUUUAAUGGCGGAGGAAGGAGGGGACUUACUACAUCACCAAGUAAAUCGACGACGCUGUUCGGCUGUAGUUUCUGCUUUCCUGUAAGCGUCGGUUUCGAGCCGUGUCCAUGGCAACGCAGUCGAGUGAUUCUGUACGUCGCAAUUCCGCCUAUGGUGUAGGCAACCGGAAGCGCCAUUCUUGCGGACAACAAUCAACGGGAUGGUCAACAACAUCAUUUUUAGUUGUUCUGCCUGUCACAAAACGGGCACGGAAUUUCUAAUUGGCAGUCGUCUUUCACUCGUGACGAUAUUUAUUCGCAGACAUACAUGACAUUUUGAUUGAAAGCGCCAAUCCAACGUGACGUAUAUAACGCGACCGAGAGAAUUGCCACCUAGUUGACUGGCUUCCGUUUGUUCUUGAAUGGGUUCAACCGCGGUCCACCAUCCAAACCUUCACGUGGGCUGGCGGCCACUUGAUGUCGGCUGCGGAACUAUGUGCGGUGACGUGACUUCAACGACUUCUGGUGUUGUCCAGUCUCCCAAUUUCCCUGGCGAAUUGUGAAAGGAACUGCGUAGUCGUCAUUACCACGCCAGCAGGACGGAUGAUCCAAUUAAAAUUCACCGACUUCAAAUGUGGAGACUGAUGCGGCCUAUGUUCAGGCUAACGAUGGUGUUGUGUAUCUAUCGCCUCCAACAGGCGGAAACACCAUUCCUGUCCUAAUCCCCGUAACAACCAACGCGAUGGGCAUCAUCUUUUAAUAUUCUGCCAGUAGUAAACACAAUACCUCGACAUUCUAUUGACGGUCGACUUUUUCUGUGACGGUAAAUUUCAUUUGCGUCAGCAAUUCCUGAAUUGCGCCAAUUCCGGCGUGGGCGGCAGUGGCGGCGGAUGCGGCGGAGGGGUGGCCAUCGCCGACAAGACUUCCAUCUCGUCGAAACCUUCCGUCUCGUCCGAUGACACGGGCAUCGAAGUCUCUGACCACCAAACGGAUUCCAGGGACAGCGCCGACUUGCAGAUGAUCCUGCCUCCGCCCGGAUUCGGUCCCAUCAGUCUUCACACUGUACAACAAAUGCAACAAAGAAGAUUUCUCUCGUUCUGAAAGUGGCAGAUAAGUGAGAUAACAUUAUACAAUGACAGGUUUUUCCAAAUCCUAAUUCUUAAACCGGUUUUUCCCCUCGGGUUUAUCUCGGUUAAUAUUUUCUCUUAAUCGAUAUUUUAGUUUAACCAAAUCAAACACCCGCAAAUAAUUUGCCGUUUCCAGUGAUCGGAUUAAUUAUACUAUUAUCUAAUAUUACUAUGAUCUAAAACGUAGUAUUAUUUCCUAUUUCAUAUGAAUUAUGUUCAAGGUCACAACUCACAAGGAACAUUACGUUAAAGUGUAGAGGUUGGGUGAGAAAGAAAGUUUUACAUCAUUAUCAAGUAGGUAGAAUUAAAUUGGUUCAAGGUUACUACAGGAAACAUUACAUAAAAGUGUAGAGGUUGGGUAAGAAAGAAACGUGUGGCAUCAUUUUCAAGUAGGUAGAAUUGCCGCAAGACUUGAGAGUUGAGUAAGGGUGAGAAAAAGUCGUAUAAAAAGAUGAAAGACCAUCAGUCAUCAGAGCAUCUCCGACACGGUAACAACUGCAGCGCGACUUUUUCUCAUUGCAUUCUUCGUAGUAUGUUCUCAACAUGGGUGAAUAUUCGUUUAUUUAGCAUGGAGCAUUGAAUCAAUUGUACAUUUUUCUAUUUAUUGAUUUGCCACUCAUAGUUGAAUAUUGACGUUUAAAUUUUUGAUUCAUGUCUAGUUAACUAUGGCGUCGUCCUGCUGUUGGUUGUUGUAUCGUUGAUGGCUGAACCGACCACUGGUGUACCGAUUUCUCCUGAGGAUGGUGGAUGCGAAAUCGCAACGCCGUCGCCUUACCAUGACAACAAAGGCAACAACCAGUUACUACACCAAAGCAUUGGAGGACUAAACCAAAACCUGUGCUGCUCCAGCUUCCUGUCUUGAGACUACCUAACGUUACUCCGCUCCCAGCUACUACACCGAGGCUCCAGCUUGCUUCACCACCGAGGGAUCGGAUUAUUACACCUACCCACGCUGCUCCAGUCUCAUACACAGAGGAUCCCAAGCACUACACAACCAGGGCACCGGAGUACUACACGACUACGUAAGUACGUAUGCUACCCAAGCUGACUACACCAAGGCUCCCAAGUGAUCUCUGCUACCAGCUACUACACCGAGGCACCAACAUUCUACUCUGCCCCCAGCUACACACUCGCAACAGAGUCGGCCAACUAUUGAGCAGCACCUAUAAACCACUACUUACGCUUCUCCGAUCUACUACACCGAAGUAUUACUCUGCCCCGAAUUACUACAUCAGUAAGGCACUUGAAAGUUAUACCACAACCUACAAUGUGAAAUCUAAAAUCUUUGUUUUAUGUUGAUGUGGUCAAAUUUCGAGUAAUCAUCUUGUGCGACUUUUCAACAACCCCAACCAUUUAAACAUUGCGACGUUUUCUGAAUGUGCUUUUAAAUGUUGCCUAUUUUACUCUACUUAAGAACCUCUUUUAUGAUAGGAAAAAUUUCAUUUUCUGGGUAAUUUAUGUAAAAGCUAUCAACUUGUU